GCCGCUAUGGUGGAAUUUGGUAUACACAUGAUAUUCAAAAUAUCACGAGAAAACUCAUGUCGGUUCAAAUCCGACUAGCGGUA
rnacentral:tRNA from 1 species